GAUGGCAGUAGGCAUCUCAUAGGGUUGUAAAGAGGAUUAAAUGUGUUAACAUAUGCAAAAUGUUUAGAACUGUGCCAGAGCUCAAUAAAUUCCUAACAAAUGUUAUCUGUUAUUAUUAUUAUUGUCUUUGUUCCUUGAGAAGUACAGUAAAGAUAUGGUAAGUAACAUGCCUAAAUCAAGGCACAUUUUAUUUUAUUUUAUUUAUAUUUAGAACCACACCUGCGGCAUAUGAAAGUUCCCAGGAUAAGGACAGAAGUGGAGCUAUAUCUCCUGGCCUACGCCAUGGCCACAGCAAAACCAGAUCCUUAACCCAGUGAGCGAGGCCAGGGAUCAAACCCACAUCCUCAGCUUCUUAACCUACUGAGCCACAAUGGGAACUCCAAGGCAUAUUUUAAAUAAUCAUUUAAAAAAACAGUUUUUAAAAGAGAGAUAAUUCUGGAAGUGUUUUUAAAAGUACUGUAUAUUUCCAACCAUUAUUAUUUACCAAAUUAUAAUUCUGUUGUUCUGCCCUUCUAACUCAGAUGAAUCUAGUAUAUAUUUAUCGAAACUCAGUUUGCACUGAGUAUAAUACUUAUAUUCAUAUGUCAUUGAAAUGGAUCUGAUGAGUAUCAGAAUUACUAUUUUCUGAAUUAGCACUGCAGCAUACUAACUCAUGAAACCUUCCAGUUACCAAUAGAGCUUGACUGCUUGUUUCUUUGGGUUGCAAAGAUUAACGUGUGAGAUUCAGAGCUGAGCUGCCUGUGGAUCUGGCAGGCUGGUGACACUGUUGGGUAUCUAUUCAUAUGAUUUUAUGGUGUGUGGUCGAAGCUGGGGGAAGAAUUAAAUACAGAGAGUCUUGAGUCAAAGAUAGAGGGGAGAAUUAGAUUUGAGAGUCAAUUGCUUGGCAUCUGGCCAGAAGGACUGGUUUUGAAGUCCUAUAGAGAGAGAAAUUAAGUCCAGAAGCUACAAGAUAAGGUCUGAUAAAGGAUAUGUGAGAUUCCAGGAACAAACUGUUCUUCCUGAGGACACAUUACAAAGUGAGACAGAAUUGGAGUGAGAACCAUUUUCAUCACACCAAGUCCAUCCCCAAACCCAUUUUCCGCUGCCAGAAACCCAGUGUACCUAGAAUCUGUCCUAUCUUGAGUGAGAGCUAACCCCCUGAGGCCACAUUGUGAUGGGGUCAGGGUGGGUGCAGAACCACCUCAGGGGCUUGACUGCACUGUUACACUAAGCAGAGCACUAUCCUGUAGGUGGAAACAUAAAUCGGUGCAGCCACUAUGGAGGAUAGUAUGGAGGUUCCUUAAAAAACUAAAAACAGAGUUACCACAUGAUCCGGCAAUCCCACCCUGCACAUAGAGCUGGAGGAAACUCUAAUUUGAAAAGAGACAGUCACCACAAUGUUCAUAGCAGCACUGCUUAACAACAGCCAAGACACGCAAGCAACCUGAAAGUCCAUUGACAGAUGAAUGGAUAAAGAAGAUGUGGUAUUAAAAAAAAAUGUGGGCGUUCCCGUCGUGGCGCAGUGGUUAACGAACCCGACUAGGAGCCAUGAGGUUGUGGGUUCGGUCCCUGCCCUUGCUCAGUGGGUUGAAGAUCCGGCGUUGCCCUGAGCUGUGGUGUAGGUCGCAGACGCGGCUCGGAUCCCGCGUUGCUGUGGCUCUGGCGUAGGCCGGCGGCUACAGCUCCGAUUGGACCCCUAGCCUGGGAAACUCCAUAUGCCGUGGGAGUGGCCCAAGAAAUAGCAAAAA